GCCCCGGGUCUUGAUUGAUCGUGCACGAAGAUGCUGCUCGUAUUGGAAAACUUCGAUGACGCUAACGGACAGUCGUCGGUGCCACUGGUUACAUCUCUUGGGAAGCUGAAUCAUCCUCGUUAAGCUCCCAUUACCCAUGCACGCACGAAACGUCAUCAUUUACUUCGUACCAGUCUUGGCAAUGAUGAGCACACUGGCUGUCUAAGUGGGUAAAUGGGACGACACCCACGGCACCGCUCCUAGGAGAGGCCACUCUCUCCACUUGGACGCCAUCCUAUUGAACACUUCAAGAUUUACUAUUAUACUUGGAACACGAGUUUAUAAGGUGUACGUAUCAGGGCAUUUGCCUCGGUUAGGAACAGGAAAAGUGCACUCUUUCGUAUACAUUAAGAGCACGGUAAUUGGAAUGCGAUGGGAGUAGGGGAAAUCGUCUUAUGGAAUUUGUAUGAAAUAUUUGUAUAACUUUUUCUUUUGCCAUUUGUAAACGUCCAUUCUUAAUACUCAUCGAACCCACGUGUUUAACUUA